UCUGAAAAGACAGUACUUUAAAGGCUUGGCAAACUGUUUUCAAGCUCUUCAGUGCAGAGACUGGGGAUCGGCAAAUCAAAACUAUUUAGGCCUUCAAAGAUGAGACCUAUCUCUUGACCCGAGAUAGUGGCCUAUAAUCAUGAAGGUCUGCUGAAGGAUGUUGUAACAUGGGACCUGGGCCAGAAGAUUCGGUCAUGUGGGCCUAAACACCACAGCAACAAAGGCCACACUACCUGAAGGAGAAGAGCAGAAUAGGCCUGCUGACUGUAACAAGGUCCAUCUCCAAUCCAGUUGCUGCCAGACAAGUCAUGAGGUAAGUCUGGGUCAAACCUGU
rnacentral:lncRNA from 1 species